rnacentral:rRNA from 1 species
GACGAACGCUGGCGGCGUGCUUAACACAUGCAAGUCGAACGGUAAGGCCCUUCGGGGUACACGAGUGGCGAACGGGUGAGUAACACGUGGGUGAUCUGCCCUGCACUUCGGGAGAAGCCUGGGAAACUGGGUCUAAUACCGGAUAGGACCACUGCCUGCAUGGGUGGUGGUGGAAAGCUUUUGCGGUGUGGGAUGGGCCCGCGGCCUAUCAGCUUGUUGGUGGGGUGAUGGCCUACCAAGGCGACGACGGGUAGCCGGCCUGAGAGGGUGACCGGCCACACUGGGAAUGAGAUACGGACCAGACUCCUACGGGAGGCAGCAGUGGGGAAUAUUGCACAAUGGGCGCAAGCCUGAUGCAGCGACGCCGCGUGAGGGAUGACGGCCUUCGGGUUGUAAACCUCUUUCAGCACCGACGAAGCGCAAGUGACGGUAGGUGCAGAAGAAGGACCGGCCAACUACGUGCCAGCAGCCGCCGCCG